UAAAAUCAGGAAGGAUGCUGGAGGGUUGGGUUUCCACUAGUUACCACAGCCACAGAGUCAAAAUGGACUAUAUCGUUAAAAAAAACGUUUUUUGGGGCUACAUUUAAGGUGAGGCAUAAAGUUAGCAGUGUGGUUAGAGUUAGGUUUAAAAUCAGAUUGUACGAAUAACAAUUGUAGCAAUGGGCCGGGUGUAGCCAUAAUUAUGACUUUGUGGUUGUGGUAACUAGUGACGACCAGAGGUUUAAUGUACAGCCAAAGAUACUCCAUUCUCUACUAUCUCUGAUACAGUUUAUCUGUGACAAAAUGUCGAUGACAACUAUGUAGAAGGUUACUCUGAUUUUCUGCUCUGUCCUCUGUGUUUUGUUUUUCCUUCCCUAAAUAAUUUUCCCGAGGGAAGAAUGAUGUAGGGCAGCCCGAGGUUGGUCCUGGGUAUUAUCCUCCCAUGAUGCAUCGCCUACAGAUGCCAGAGGAGGGCCUCGGACAGUGGAUGGAGGGGACUCAUGACUCUGGGCCCCACAGCCCUGAGGUCCUGGCUAAAGUCAAAGGCGUGGGCACACUUCAGAUCCGAGGAGCCACUAAAUCCAAUCGGAUCAGCCAGGCCAUUCCCAUCUACGGAUUUGGAAUCCUACUCUACAUCCUCUUCAUCAUAUUCUAGAUAAGCUGCACAAUGUCCACCCUAGACUGGCUCAGUCAAUUGGAUAGACAAACUAUUUAGAGGCAGGAAUGUAGAAGAUGUAGACUAUUACAGUUUUUAACAGCAUCCAUGUAAUACCUGUACUGGCUAGGAGUCCAGUGCAUCCAGUACAUUACAAGGUGUGCAUACCAUAAAUGCACUGUUGUAUUCACAGAUGACAACUAGGCCUAAAGGAAAAAGUACUAAACUGGUAUGCCAAUUUCCUACAAUUGCAUUUGAAGCUUGUCAGAAGAGGAGGAGUUAGUAGACAGCAUCACAUCAUUAAUAGCUAGGCCAUUGUGAAUGACACGAUGAUGUAUAUGAUGUGCCUUUUAUCUCAUAGCGCAGUUGAUAAGAGUCCCAUGCACCUGACCUCCCUAACACACACCAUUUAGGUCCUACAUUCCGUGAUGAUUCACCCUGAUGAAAGAAUAAUGCAGGAUAUAGCACAUCCUGCGAGGAGAAAUGUCAUCUGACAAAUGAGCUCCUCUCUAACAGUCACCUCUUUCAUGACUUCGAGGGCUUAUUUUCAAUCAACUUCCUCAUUGUUUUGAUCGUUCCAUUUGUCAGGGCCCCUGCAGAAUGUAUCAGUAGCUCCAAUUUAAGCAACUCCAUGAUAAGGUAGAUUAGGAUCCUGUCCAACUCACAGGGAGCUUUGUUCCCUGCCUUUGUUAGACCUGGAUUAGCAAUCAGAAGUAAUGUUGUUUCAGCCCAGCAGUGUCUAAUACCAAUUACUGCAUGUAUUUUGGAUCAGCACUAAGAGGUUUAGCUCCAUUCAUCAAAUGAAUGCUAAGGGGGUAGGGGUGGGGGACAAUGUGACAGGGACAAGCAUAUAAAUCUAUUCAUGUCCUAUGUAUCAAUGCCACUCUCACCUUCCGUAAUUAAGAAACAUUGAGUUACAAUGGUUGAUUCGUUUCCAAUCCUGAGUAUUGAACGUGUAGUUCUGAACGUGCAGAGUGAAUGUUGAAUCUCAAGGCUUUCUGCAACAUUGGAAAGCAACUCUAGAUACGGUGUGUGUUCGUCCAUGCAUGCAUGAGUUUGCUCUUUACACCCCUGACUGCCAUGUUUCCCUCCCAGCAGAUGAUGAGCUGGCCCAGCUUCAGGAGAAGCUGCUGGAGACAGAGGGUGAAGUAGAGGAUCGUCUCCAGAAGGAGCAGCACUCCUAACAGCACGACUAGCAGCAAGGUUAGAAGAGCAUCCAAGCAGGAGAAGUUACUGCGGAAGCUGAGUAAGAUCAGCCGGGUGAUGCAGGAGGUACGACUGAUGGAGGGGGCCACACCUGAGAUGGUGCCCUACGCUGCUGACUGAGAGGGCUACCCUGAGGAGACCUACCCCCAGUAUAAGGAGCCCGGAGGCAGGCGCAGCGGCAGUUAUGACCCCAUCACCAUCCUGGAGGAGCCUGCUGCUGACUCAGAUACCCACUGCCGAGGCCCUGGCUGAGGAGGUGGUGGAUGAGGAGGUAGAAGAGGUCACAGAGGAGGAGGAGGAGGAGCAGUAGCUCUGCCCGCCCCCACCUCCUGAAGGAGGAAUGGAAGAAACGGGUAGUAGUCCCACCAGAGGUAAAAAGCUCAAUCAGAUUCAGCGACCACAAAGAUGUGUUUCACUACCCUAAGCAGGAUACGGUCUAUGAAUAUAGGUAUGAAGAGGAGAAGGAAGAGGGGCAAGUGGAUGAGACAGAGGAAGAGGGAGUAGUAGGUGAUGAAGACCCACUGAUGGAGGCCGAGUCUCUCAGUUUUAGUUGUGAUGUCUGUAGUAAUCCAGAAGCAGAAGAAGAGAUGGAAGAAGAGUACAUUCUACUGUCUCAGUCUGAAGAGACAGACAGCUUCACCCCACCAGAUAGGUCUGGGGAGCUGGGGAUUCUCUCAGGUUGAGGAACAGGAGAGAGAGACAGAGGGCAGAGUCAAUGAGGAAACUAGUUCAUCCUAAACUUGCCUCUCUAGCCCUUUGACCUUACUGAAUGUUCUGAAUAUUCCCAAGAAUGUACCUCUCCUUAUGCAAAUCCCCGUUUUCUAUCCUGUCUCCUUGCGUCCCAAGACAGAAUAUGCUGUUCAGUGGGUGAAUUUUGUGAUCCUAACUAGACUACCUAAUCCCCUAAUAUUCAUGCUGCUUUAAAGAAAACCAUUUACCCACAAUUCAUCAUGUCCUUUGAUGGUAGACAUCAAACUGACUAACUUUAUUCCAAUAUGGCAGUCAAGCAUUGUAGAGACCCUGGUGUCCUCUGGGAUAGAUUGUAAACAGAGAGAGAGCAGGGACCCACAUAAAUGAGUAAACAGAGGUAGAUCGUUCAAGUCCAGCUUUUGUAUCUCAGACUAUUAAAGUGGACACAUUCUAUUAAAAGGUCAUAUGAAAAAUAUUUUUUCAAACCAGCAACUAUUAAGCCCAGAAUGUAUUCGUAAUAAAAAAUGAAUUGUC